rnacentral:tRNA from 1 species
AAAGGUGGCUGAGCUGGUCUAAGGCGCACGACUGGAAAUCGUGUGUUCGGCUGAUAACCGACCGAGGGUUCGAAUCCCUCCCUUUGC